rnacentral:rRNA from 1 species
ACAUUGGGACUGAGACACGGCCCAAACUCCUACGGGAGGCAGCAGUGGGGAAUAUUGCACAAUGGGGGAAACCCUGAUGCAGCGACGCCGCGUGAGCGAUGAAGUAUUUCGGUAUGUAAAGCUCUAUCAGCAGGGAAGAAGAUGACGGUACCUGACUAAGAAGCCCCGGCUAACUACGUGCCAGCAGCCGCGGUAAUACGUAGGGGGCAAGCGUUAUCCGGAUUUACUGGGUGUAAAGGGAGCGUAGACGGCGGUGCAAGCCAGAUGUGAAAGCCCGGGGCUCAACCCCGGGACUGCAUUUGGAACUGUAUGGCUGGAGUGUCGGAGAGGCAGGCGGAAUUCCUAGUGUAGCGGUGAAAUGCGUAGAUAUUAGGAGGAACACCAGUGGCGAAGGCGGCCUGCUGGACGAUGACUGACGUUGAGGCUCGAAAGCGUGGGGAGCAAACAGGAUUAGAUACCCUGGUAGUCCACGCCGUAAACGAUGACUACUAGGUGUCGGGCAGCAAAGCUGUUCG